rnacentral:tRNA from 1 species
GCCACCGUAGCUCAGUCGGUAGAGCGGCGGUUUUGUAAACCGCAGGUCGGGAGUUCGAUUCUCUCCGGUGGCU